rnacentral:lncRNA from 1 species
AAGUACAGGGAGAUUAUAAGAGGAUAUGAGUCAGUACACAGAAUAAGAUCUUUUCUGGGGGAAAAAGACACCAAUACAGUUUGGGAAAGAAUAAAGAAAGAGAAGAAUUAUCUCACCCUCAGUGUCUUAGGCAGCAGAUCUUCAAGCCAAUUUCCCACCUGUGGCAGGAUGCAACUUUUUAACUGGAUGUUCCCUGCUCACUCUCACCA